UACGUAGGUGGCAAGCGUUAUCCGGAUUUACUGGGUGUAAAGGGCGUGUAGGCGGGAGAGCAAGUCAGACGUGAAAUUCCAGGGCUCAACCCUGGAACUGCGUUUGAAACUGUUCUUCUUGAGUGAUGGAGAGGCAGGCGGAAUUCCGUGUGUAGCGGUGAAAUGCGUAGAUAUACGGAGGAGCACCAGUGGCGAAGGCGGCCUGCUGGACAUUAACUGACGCUGAGGCGCGAAAGCGUGGGGAGCAAACAGG
rnacentral:rRNA from 1 species